rnacentral:lncRNA from 1 species
GUCGCUUGAGCCUCAUCCCGCUCAACCAAAGUGGUAUCCCGGCUAGCUUGGGCUUCAUCCCUCUCAGUAAAAGCAGCAUCUCUACUAGAAAGAGUUGUAAACAUCAGAGCCCUAGCCUAAUCCCUCACAAAUGUCAUCAGAUGUAACCUCUACUCCAAAUACUCUAUAGAAGGUGGAGUCAUAGCAGUGGGAAUACUGGGGGAAUCAACCAGAGCUGUUG